UGACUGUCAGGCCACCUUAAGCCACAGUACGGAAAAAGCUGUGCUGCCUGUGAGCCCCGUCCAAGGACGUUAAAAGAAGAAGUCAGGCCCCAAAGCCACGGUUUGAGCAAACCGUGCUGCCUGUGGCUCCGUCGUGGGGACGUAAAACCUGGGAGGCUGCAAACUGUGGAAGCUGUACGCACAGUGUAGCAGACUAGUGGUUAGAGGAGACCCCUCCCAUGACACAACGCAGCAGCGGGGCCCGAGCACUGAGGGAAGCUGUACCUCCUUGCAAAGGACUAGAGGUUAGAGGA
rnacentral:lncRNA from 1 species